UGCAAGUCGAGCGAUCUUCUUCGGAAGAGAGCGGCGGACGGGUGAGUAACGCGUGGGUAACCUGCCCUGUACACACGGAUAACAUACCGAAAGGUAUGCUAAUACGGGAUGACAUAUGAAAGUCGCAUGGCUUUUAUAUCAAAGCUCCGGCGGUAUAGGAUGGACCCGCGACUGAUUAGCUAGUUGGUAAGGUAACGGCUUACCAAGGCGACGAUCAGUAGCCGACCUGAGAGGGUGAUCGGCCACACUGGAACUGAGACACGGUCCAGACUCCUACGGGAGGCAGCAGUGGGGAAUAUUGCACAAUGGGCGAAAGCCUGAUGCAGCAACGCCGCGUGAGCGAUGAAGGCCUUCGGGUCGUAAAGCUCUGUCCUCAAGGAAGAUAAUGACGGUACUUGAGGAGGAAGCCCCGGCUAACUACGUGCCAGCGGCCGCGGUAAUACGUAGGGGGGCUAGCGUUAUCCGGAAUUACUGGGCGUAAAGGGUGCGUAGGCGGUCUUUCAAGCCAGAAGUGAAAGGCUACGGCUCAACCGUAGUAAGCUUUUGGAACUGUAGGACUUGAGUGCAGGAGAGGAGAGUAGAAUUCCUAGUGUAGCGGUGAAAUGCGUAGAUAUUAGGAGGAAUACCAGUAGCGAAGGCGGCUCUCUGGACUGUAACUGACGCUGAGGCACGAAAGCGUGGGGAGCAAACAGGAUUAGAUACCCUGGUAGUCCACGCCGUAAACGAUGAGUACUAG
rnacentral:rRNA from 1 species